AUAUCUCACUGCAAAAAAUCCUGAAGGAAAACUUGCCACUUUAUAAAAGGUCACCAGAUAAAUAAAUUGCCUUCUCAACUGGGAUGAUUCCUGUUGUCAUUAAGCCCCAGCAGAGAUCUAACACACUUUGAUGCUUUUGCUAAAUGCCGAGAGAGACAACGGCACGUUCGAGGUCAGAGACAAUGAAAACUAAGCAACUGGGGCCCAAGUCAGAAGGCUUUUUCUUUUUUUCUCCUUUUUUUAUGGGUACCAUGAAAUAAUAGGCACUUUUUAACUUUUUUAGACUCCGUUUCUGCAGUGGUAAUCUUGUAUCCACGUGAACUCAAUUGACCAGGGACCGAGCUCCCACUGCUUACCUGAGUUGCCUUUACUGCAGGUGUUUCUCAUUCCUGCUCUCAUCGCAUACCAUCCCGCCCCCACCAACAAGGGAGAGCAGCAGUAUUCACCGAACUGCAGGGCCUUUCUAGACCGUCCUAGACCUUCCUUCUGAACUGCAAGAAAAUUAACCUCUGUGGUUGAAGUCACACAGUCUGAGGUAUUUUGUUACAGCCAGCCAAGCUGAGUAACCCAGUAGCCUCUGAGGGAGAGGAAAAGAUUCCUGGCUUCACCACUGAGCAGGACCUCCAGGCCAGAAUGGAUUGUGGGCCCAGUUUGGCUGGUAGAGACACAGGACAAUUUCACUACAGAGGUUUUCUGCUUGUAAGAAGGAGGCCGUCACACUGACCUCUAGCCACUCGGGCAGAGGGGAUAGGAAUCCCAAAUUGGGUCCAAGAUCUGUCCACCACUGGAGAUCAGACUCCCAGGACAAUAUACAGUGAACCUGCUGGGAAGGUCUGCCAGAAGCUGGCCAGCACAAUGACGGUUGCGCCUCCAAGCUACACUGUACUCCAUGGUAUGCUGCUGCUGCUGCUAAGUCGCUUCAGUUGUGUCCAGCUCUGUACGACCCCAUAAAUGGCAGCCCACCAGGCUCCCCCGUUCCUGGGAUUCUCCAGGCAAGACUCCAUGGUAUAGAUGUACCCUAUUGGAAAGAGGUGUCUACUAAGUCCAAAACGAAUCGGAGGAGCCACAUCAGCUGGAUGCCAUAAAAGCCUCAGGAUUGUAUCUCAUCUUUAAAUCGUUCUUCUGAUCACACAUAGAACAUUCAGCAAAAGGAUGUUUGCCAUGGAACCAUCAUCUGUUCCCCAGCUCUACUGUAUCUGAUAGUGAAAUCAGCUCACUUUGAAACUGAACGUAUUGGAUGGAGAUAAUUAAUUCUUCGUCUGGAUAAGUAAGUCAUUAUUUCGCCUCUUGUCCCUGCUUUAUUCAGCUCCUUCGAGCCAUCAACUGCGCCUGCGCACAGGAUCACGCAUGCGCUCCCCAGCAGUUAUCAAAUCCCGUCUGCCCAAAGAAAUCAGCUUUACAGAUUUUAGAGGGGAUUUAAGACACUAAACGGUGUUCUUCAAUGAACAGAAAUGAGAUUCUACUAACAAUUUGAUUUACAGACCAAAUGUGACAGAUGUGGCUAAUCUGGUUUGAUAAUAGUACACAUAAUAAAAUUCUAGUUUAAAAAUAGUGCCAGUUGAGAACCUUUCUUCCAUAUAAACAGUUCAGAAGUCUUUUAGUGGAGAAGAAACCCUGUUGUCUGAUUAUGCUGCAAUUGGUAUGAAAUACUUCACUAAUAAAUUAAAAUUCCUGCAUUUUAAAAAAAGUUUGAGUGUUAAAAAAAGACUAAAAACAUUUUUUUAAAAAAAUGGAAGCCUAGCAAAGACAGCAAGACUGACCUUAUUUUUAUAAUACUCUGACUAUUGAGUUCAAGAACCUAGUAGCUAACACAGAGCUGGCCACUCAACAGAGAUCUGUUGGGCCAAAAUCUUUAAAUGUUUGCUCAGUUGAAAUGUCUGUUUUAUCUUUAGCCUGCCUUUUUAUCUGUGUGGAAUGUUCCUCUGGCAAAAGUAUUCUGACACAUAGUUGUUUCUUUUUUUUUUCCUAAGUACUAAAUUACAUUGCUUUUGGAGUUUCAGACUUUGAAUGUACCCCAUGUGAUACAUUUGAAGUGGCAGAUGGAACUCUUAUGCCACUGGAAAUUCUAAACUAUGUGAAAGAAAAAUUUAUUUCUCUUUCUAGUUUUCUGUUCAACCAUAAUAUUUUUUUUUUAUCAGUGCUGAGUUGAUAAAUUCUACUGAAGUAAAUAAAUUGCUCAAUUGAUAUUCU